rnacentral:lncRNA from 1 species
UAAUCUAAAUCUAUGUUUAUUAUUCUCUCAAAAGCUAAUUUUGUUACUAAGGCUGAUGGCUAUUGCAAAUGAUAAAAAAAAGAAAUUUUUGAUAAAUCAAACUUCACCAUUGUGUCCAAAAUACCUUUUUAUGCUAAGACUUACUAUUCACCUGCUUCUAUCUAUAUUUAUUUGUAUUUAUUAUGAAAGUUUUAACCUCUAGAGAUUUUAGCAAUUAUUGUAAAAUCCUUCAAAAAUGAAAAUUUCACUGCUCCACUUGUAUGUUGGAGGAGAAGGUGCUAAUCUUGUUUUCUUCACCCCAUGAGGUGAAUCCAAUGCCACCAUUGCAUUUGAAAGCCUCCAUCAAUUAAAAAAAACUACUUUGCCACUUGGAUUUGUUCAAGUUGAAGAAAGAAAUUCAAAACAGUUAUUACUAAACUUCACUAAAUCUUUUAGAAAUUUUUAUUUCUAAUUCAUUCUAAAUCAUAUGAGAUGAUUGUAGGUCAAUUCAUAGGCUCACAAUCAACCUUUAUAGGAAUGAUUGACAAUCUCUAAAUUAUUAAAUUUAACCAAAUUAUUAUUCUAAUUUUCUAAUCCUUAUCAUUUUGGUCUUAAUUAACCUAACUCAAGGAAUCAAGCUAGGAUUUAUACCAU